GGGAAUUUAGCUUAGUGGCAUAAGCACCUGCCUUGUAAGCAGGCAGUUGUGAGUUCACUCCCUGGUACUG
rfam:Cavia porcellus supercont2_24 genomic scaffold, whole genome shotgun sequence.